AAUGGAGUUCCAAUUUUUGUAAAUGAGGAAAACUUGCAACUCCUCACUAACCUUCCACGAAAUGGUGAAGACAUCUCUCUCUACACUAGAGAAGAAAGCGCUUUAUUUGAUGAACAACUUCUUUUCCACCAAAUUGGUAUUGGCGACUGUCCGGAGAAUCGUCGCCCAACCAUUACGCACAUGCUCCCAGAUUAUCGUCUAAUAUUUUAUUUCAUCACCCGAGUUCUCAAAC
rnacentral:lncRNA from 1 species